CCUACGGUAGGCAGCAGUGAGGAAUAUUGGUCAAUGGGCGCGAGCCUGAACCAGCCAAGUCGCGUGAGGGAAGACGGUCCUAUGGAUUGUAAACCUCUUUUGUCGGGGAGCAAAAGACGCCACGCGUGGCGCUCCGAGAGUACCCGAAGAAAAAGCAUCGGCUAACUCCGUGCCAGCAGCCGCGGUAAUACGGAGGAUGCGAGCGUUAUCCGGAUUUCUUGGGUUUAAAGGGUGCGCAGGCGGAAGAGCAAGUCAGCGGUAAAAUUGAGAGGCUCAACCUCUUCUAGCCGUUGACAGUGGUGUUCUUGAGUGAGCGAGAAGUAUGCGGAAUGCGUGGUGUAGCGGUGAAAUGCAUAGAUAUAACGCGGAACUCCGAGUGCGAAGGGAGCAUACCGGCGCUUAAGUGACGCGCAUGAACGAAAGUGUGGGUAUCGAGCAGGAUUAGAUACCCGAGUAGUC
rnacentral:rRNA from 1 species